UCUAUCUAUCACCAAGAAAGAAAGGUGUUGCGUGAAGAAAAGAGCCUACUUAGAUAGCCAAGGAUGAUCCCAAAAUGAUCAUUCAAGUUAUCUGCAGUGAAUAAUAUGGCUUCUUCAUUUAGAGGUCAUCCGAAAGCUAUCGCCGGAGACUCUUUUCCAUCAGGCAACACCUCCAUUUCUUUUCCAUGCAUUUAAUUUAUUCAUCUUAUGAUCUGUACAUAUGGAAAGAUUUGUGUGUUUAAUUUCUCAUCGCAAAUGGAGGAAAGGUAUUGCAUGGAGACUGAGAGCUUUUUGUUGUAGCCAAGGAUGACUUGCCUAGCUAGCUAAAAUCUUGCCAUUUCAAGGAAUUUUCGUGUAAACUUUGCGUUUGAUUUGUGGAAUUGCAUUAGUCAAAAUAGAAUUAUGGAAUGCAUCCUGGCCUGCAAUAGAUCAGAAGGUAUAGGCUAGUUGUCCGAGGCUACAACAGACGCUCUUCUUUUUCAUGCAAAACCUUCUCCUCCGCACGUAUAUAGAUCAGAUGGUCAGAUGGUGAAAUUAGUGUAGCUCAGAUCAGAUCAAUGAAUCAUGUAUGUGCAGAUAGUUUUUCUAUUUUUUUAAAGUGUGAGCGUAUAUGUAAUCCUUGACCAAAUUGGUUUUUCUAUUUUCUUGGAUCAUUAUCGUUGUGAUUUGGAGCCGCGAUUUCUUCAUCAUCGAUCGAGUAUUCGUCCAUGCAAAGCGAUCAGUAUUUUUUAUUUUUUUCGCUCGUUUUUUGAGUAUAAUAUUGCCUAUAUUUGAAUUGUGGAGUAUAUUUACACAUGUUUGUCCUCACGUGAAUAUAUAUAAAUCUGGCCUCCUUACAUAUAGUAUGUGGUUUCGAAUCAAAGAAAAUUAGGUAUUUUUUUGUUGGGGACCUCCAAUGUUUAUAUAUUAUUGUUUUUAUCUAAAUUUGAUCCCCUUACACUUAGUACGUUGUUUUUAUUAUUAUUGUGCAGUCUUUUUUUCCCAUAUAUAUCACUACCAUAACGAAUCUCUAGGAGUUAUAAAAAAAAAAACUAGGUAUAUAUGUUAGUGAUAGGGAUUAUUUCCUGGAUAUUGCGACCGUAUGGCAACCGACCUCUGAGCUACAUAUUAGCUGAGCAACACGCCUACCGGUCUAUCUGACCUUCUCCUCCCGGCCUAGAGAGCCCGCAAGGCAAUGCUCACGAGAACACUCAAGUUUGCCUGGUUCGACCUACUUAUCCUGGAGCGCCCCUCAUGUCUUGGCCCAUAGCCGCCAAGCACUUGGGCAAAAGGCAGGGGCCUAUGUUUGGCCCCGUGCAUGGCUUCCACGCGGCACCCAUGCCGCAAGACCGGCACCUAUCCCCUGACACCCUAUAAAUACCGCAUUUAAUGUUAGAAAGUGAACUUUUGGCUGUUUUCACUAUUAAAUAGUUAAGUAGUUCGGAAACCUCUGACCCACUGUCACGCUGACUGGACUACGCUUAGGGUAUAAAAUCAUUGUACCCGAUUCACAAGUAAUAAAAUAUAUUUGAUCG